rnacentral:rRNA from 1 species
AGUGAACGCUGGCGGUAGGCCUAACACAUGCAAGUCGAACGGCAGCACAGAGGAGCUUGCUCCUUGGGUGGCGAGUGGCGGACGGGUGAGGAAUACAUCGGAAUCUACUCUGUCGUGGGGGAUAACGUAGGGAAACUUACGCUAAUACCGCAUACGACCUACGGGUGAAAGCAGGGGACCUUCGGGCCUUGCGCGAUUGAAUGAGCCGAUGUCGGAUUAGCUAGUUGGCGGGGUAAAGGCCCACCAAGGCGACGAUCCGUAGCUGGUCUGAGAGGAUGAUCAGCCAAACGGGAACGGAGACACGGUCCAGACUCCUACGGGAGGCAGCAGUGGGGAAUAUUGGACAAUGGGCGCAAGCCUGAUCCAGCCAUACCGCGUGGGUGAAGAAGGCCUUCGGGCUGUAAAGCCCUUUUGUUGGGAAAGAAAUCCAGCUGGCUAAUACCCGGUUGGGAUGACGGUACCCAAAGAAUAAGCACCGGCUAACUUCGUGCCAGCCGCCGCGGUAA